rnacentral:lncRNA from 10 species
CACAAACAAACGGAAAAACAUUCCAUGCUCAUGGAUUGGAAGAAUCAAUAUACAUAAAAUGGCCGUACUGCCCAAGGAUAUAUACCCAGUAAUGACUGAUCGACUUACAACAGUGAUAUAAUUCUGGAAUUUUCUUCUGUUUUGCAAUUUUGACUUGGAGUGCUGAUCUCCCACAUGUCAUUAUUUCAACUAGCCCUAAAUGAAAGAAACAACAUAAUUAAUAAAGUCAUUCUCAAAUAUGGGCAAUUAUGUAUUAUCAAACACCUAAACAUCUAGAUUCAACUUGGCAAAAGAAAAGCAAAUUUUCUUCCCCUUUCACAUCGUUUAUUUAGAUUUUGACGGAUUAUUUUUAAAGAAGGUUGUUCAAAUUUAUAUGAACUAACUUUUCUCGCCAGCAGCAUGUGAACUAGAUAAUUCUUUUGGUAAGGCUGUACAGUGAAGUCCAAGAUGUUAGCUGCUUCCUUCGUCUCUACUCACUGAUGCCAGUAGUACCUCAUAUUUGUGGCAAUUAAAUGUUUCCCGACAUUGCCAAAUGACCCCUGGGCAGGUGAGAGAUAAAAGUCACCAGAGUUGAAAAUUGCUGAAUAAAUCAACAUAGAUCCCAGCAGCAGGCUCUUUUUCCACCUCUGAUUGCUGCCUCCCAGACGUCUUCCAAGAUGCUGUUUCUCCUACUUACCAAUUACAUAUUUAUGUUUGUAACGCCCAAUUUUUUGUCUCCCAUGUUUUAUAUUUAAUGCCCAUGAUGGGUAGUCUAUAAAUGUGGUUUCAAUAAUAUUGGGGACAUUUUACAUAAAAUACAUAGUCAGUCUAAAUCAAUAAGUUGAUAUAACUAUAAUGUUUUAAAUGUAAAGAAAUUAUUUUUUUCUAAUUCAGUAGAAAAUGGGAUUGAAAUUGUAAGCGAAUAUUGAGCCUCCACCCUGUAUCUUCUGCAUUAAGCCCUGUUUAGCUGGUAAUAGUCUUAUUUUGCCAGUGAUUCAAAAUCAGCAAUUAAUUGUAUACAUUUCAGGUUGCCUAACAGAGAGGACAUAAUAAUCAUUCAGGACUUACAUAACCUGAUUAACUGAAUAAUCACCAAAUAUUGCUGUGGAGGUAG